rnacentral:rRNA from 1 species
AAAACAUCGCCUCCCGCAAAAAUCAACGUAUAGGAGGUCUUGCCUGCCCAGUGACUGUAAGUUAAACGGCCGCGGUAUUUUGACCGUGCAAAGGUAGCGCAAUCACUUGUCUUUUAAAUGAAGACCUGUAUGAAUGGUAGAACGAGGGCUUAACUGUCUCCCCCCUCCCGUCAAUGAAAUUGAUCUACCCGUGCAGAAGCGGGUAUAAUAAUACAAGACGAGAAGACCCUUUGGAGCUUAAGAUAAAAGACCAACUAUGUCAAAAGUCCCAAAAAAGACUAAACCAAGUAGCACUGGUCCCAAUCUUCGGUUGGGGUGACCACGGGAGAAAACAAAGCUCCCACGCGGACUGGGGCAGCCCCCUAAAACUAAGAAAGACAUCUCUAAGGCACAGAAUAUCUGACCAAAAAGAUCCGGCUACAUGCCGACCAACGGACCAAGUUACCCUAGGGAUAACAGCGCAAUCCCCUUCCAGAGUCCAUAUCGACAAGGGGGUUUACGACCUCGAUGUUGGAUCAGGACAUCCUAAUGGUGCAGCCGCUAUUAAGGGUUC